rnacentral:rRNA from 1 species
GACGAACGCUGGCGGCGUGCUUAACACAUGCAAGUCGAGCGGUAAGGCCCUUUCGGGGUACGACGAGCGGCGAACGGGUGAGUAACACGUGGGUGACCUGCCCUCAGCUCUGGGAUAAGCCUGGGAAACGUGGGUCUAAUACCGGAUAUGACUCCAUGACGCAUGUUGUGGGGUGGAAAGCCUUGUGCGGCUGAGGAUGGGCCCGCGGCCUAUCAGCUUGUUGGUGGGGNGAUGGCCUACCAAGGCGACGACGGGUAGCCAGCCUGAGAGGGCGACCGGCCACACUGGGACUGAGACACGGCCCAGACUCCUACGGGAGGCAGCAGUGGGGAAUCUUGCGCAAUGGGCGAAAGCCUGACGCAGCGACGCCGCGUGAGG